GAUGAACGCUGGCGGCGUGCCUAACACAUGCAAGUCGAACGGAGAUUACGGACGGAAGUUUUCGGAUGGAAGACUGUAAUUCUUAGUGGCGGACGGGUGAGUAACGCGUGGGCAACCUGCCCUAUACAGGGGGAUAGCAGCUGGAAACGGCUGGUAAGACCGCAUAAGUCGGUUAAAUCGCAUGAUUUGAUCGGGAAAUGAGCAAUCAGGUAUAGGAUGGGCCCGCGUCCGAUUAGCCAGUUGGCAGGGUAAAAGCCUACCAAAGCGACGAUCGGUAGCCGGACUGAGAGGUCGGACGGCCACAUUGGGACUGAGACACGGCCCAAACUCCUACGGGAGGCAGCAGUGGGAGAUAUUGCACAAUGGAGGAAACUCUGAUGCAGCGACGCCGCGUGAGUGAAGAAGUAUUUCGGUAUGUAAAGCUCUAUCAGCAGGGAAGAUGAUGACGGUACCUGACUAAGAAGCCCCGGCUAACUACGUGCCAGCAGCCGCGGUAAUACGUAGGGGGCAAGCGUUAUCCGGAUUUACUGGGUGUAAAGGGAGCGCAGGCGGUUUUGCAAGUUGAGAGUGGAAGCAGGGGGCUCAACCCCCUGACUGCUCCCAAAACUGUAAAACUUGAGUAUGGGAGAGGCAGGCGGAAUUCCUAGUGUAGCGGUGAAAUGCUUAGAUAUUAGGAAGAACACCGGUGGCGAAGGCGGCCUGCUGGACCAAAACUGACGCUGAGGCUCGAAAGCGUGGGUAGCAAACAGG
rnacentral:rRNA from 1 species